UACGUAGGGUGCAAGCGUUAAUCGGAAUUACUGGGCGUAAAGCGUGCGCAGGCGGUUUUGUAAGUCUGUCGUGAAAUCCCCGGGCUCAACCUGGGAAUUGCGAUGGAGACUGCAAGGCUAGAAUCUGGCAGAGGGGGGUAGAAUUCCACGUGUGAGCAGUGAAAUGCGUAGAGAUGUGGGAGGAACACCGAUGGCGAAGGCAGCCCCCUGGGUCAAGAUUGACGCUCAUGCACGAAAGCUGGGGAGCAAACAGG
rnacentral:rRNA from 1 species